AACCUUAUGGACCUGCGGGCGUAUACCUGCGGAAGGAUCAUUAAUAAAUGUUACUUCGGUAACUUAAUUAAUCCCUAACACCUGUGCAUCUUGUCGCUCCGGCGUCAUUUUAUAAACAUCAGUGUAAUGAAUGUAACGUAUUAUAACAAAUACAACUUUUAACAACGGAUCU
rnacentral:misc_RNA from 1 species